GUGGGGAAUCUUAGACAAUGGGCGCAAGCCUGAUCUAGCCAUGCCGCGUGAGCGAUGAAGGCCUUAGGGUUGUAAAGCUCUUUCAGCUGGGAAGAUAAUGACGGUACCAGCAGAAGAAGCCCCGGCUAACUCCGUGCCAGCAGCCGCGGUAAUACGGAGGGGGCUAGCGUUGUUCGGAAUUACUGGGCGUAAAGCGCACGUAGGCGGAUCAGAAAGUCAGAGGUGAAAUCCCAGGGCUCAACCUUGGAACUGCCUUUGAAACUCCUGAUCUUGAGGUCGAGAGAGGUGAGUGGAAUUCCGAGUGUAGAGGUGAAAUUCGUAGAUAUUCGGAGGAACACCAGUGGCGAAGGCGGCUCACUGACUCGAUACUGACGCUGAGGUGCGAAAGCGUGGGGAGCAAACAGGAUUAGAAACCCCAGUAGUCC
rnacentral:rRNA from 1 species